GUACCGCUGAAGAGUCCCAAACUAGGACGAAACGGCUGUCCAGUAC
rnacentral:hammerhead_ribozyme from 1 species